rnacentral:rRNA from 1 species
CGGCGUGCCUAAUACAUGCAAGUCGAGCGGACAGAUGGGAGCUUGCUCCCUGAUGUUAGCGGCGGACGGGUGAGUAACACGUGGGUAACCUGCCUGUAAGACUGGGAUAACUCCGGGAAACCGGGGCUAAUACCGGAUGGUUGUUUGAACCGCAUGGUUCAGACAUAAAAGGUGGCUUCGGCUACCACUUACAGAUGGACCCGCGGCGCAUUAGCUAGUUGGUGAGGUAACGGCUCACCAAGGCGACGAUGCGUAGCCGACCUGAGAGGGUGAUCGGCCACACUGGGACUGAGACACGGCCCAGACUCCUACGGGAGGCAGCAGUAGGGAAUCUUCCGCAAUGGACGAAAGUCUGACGGAGCAACGCCGCGUGAGUGAUGAAGGUUUUCGGAUCGUAAAGCUCUGUUGUUAGGGAAGAACAAGUGCCGUUCAAAUAGGGCGGCACCUUGACGGUACCUAACCAGAAAGCCACGGCUAACUACGUGCCAGCAGCCGCGGUAAUACGUAGGUGGCAAGCGUUGUCCGGAAUUAUUGGGCGUAAAGGGCUCGCAGGCGGUUUCUUAAGUCUGAUGUGAAAGCCCCCGGCUCAACCGGGGAGGGUCAUUGGAAACUGGGGAACUUGAGUGCAGAAGAGGAGAGUGGAAUUCCACGUGUAGCGGUGAAAUGCGUAGAGAUGUGGAGGAACACCAGUGGCGAAGGCGACUCUCUGGUCUGUAACUGACGCUGAGGAGCGAAAGCGUGGGGAGCGAACAGGAUUAGAUACCCUGGUAGUCCACGCCGUAAACGAUGAGUGCUAAGUGUUAGGGGGUUUCCGCCCCUUAGUGCUGCAGCUAACGCAUUAAGCACUCCGCCUGGGGAGUACGGUCGCAAGACUGAAACUCAAAGGAAUUGACGGGGGCCCGCACAAGCGGUGGAGCAUGUGGUUUAAUUCGAAGCAACGCGAAGAACCUUACCAGGUCUUGACAUCCUCUGACAAUCCUAGAGAUAGGACGUCCCCUUCGGGGGCAGAGUGACAGGUGGUGCAUGGUUGUCGUCAGCUCGUGUCGUGAGAUGUUGGGUUAAGUCCCGCAACGAGCGCAACCCUUGAUCUUAGUUGCCAGCAUUCAGUUGGGCACUCUAAGGUGACUGCCGGUGACAAACCGGAGGAAGGUGGGGAUGACGUCAAAUCAUCAUGCCCCUUAUGACCUGGGCUACACACGUGCUACAAUGGACAGAACAAAGGGCAGCGAAACCGCGAGG